rnacentral:ribozyme from 1 species
AAAUACAAGGGAGAAAGAAAAAAAAAGAGAAGAUAGGAGAGGGAGGUUUUUUCAUUUCUUUUUGUUUUCUUUUCUUUUUGAAAUCUUUUUGAAUAAAAAAGAGAGAAAUCUUUA